UACGGGGGGGGCAAGCGUUGUUCGGAAUUACUGGGCGUAAAGGGCUCGUAGGUGGCCAACUAAGUCAGACGUGAAAUCCCUCGGCUUAACCGGGGAACUGCGUCUGAUACUGGAUGGCUUGAGUUUGGGAGAGGGACGCGGAAUUCCAGGUGUAGCGGUGAAAUGCGUAGAUAUCUGGAGGAACACCGGUGGCGAAGGCGGCGUCCUGGACCAACACUGACGCUGAGGAGCGAAAGCCAGGGGAGCAAACGGG
rnacentral:rRNA from 1 species